AAAGCGGCUCGCGGGUAAUAAUGAGGCGCAAACAUUAAGCGCAAGAACGCCUCGGGCAUCGCCAAAGGCCCCCUCUUAGCACACUUAAUAAAUACGUUUAUCGCUUCAGUGACUCCCGUCCAUCGGCUGAGUGGAUCCAGUGACGUCACUGGCGCUCCUCUAACGUCAUGUCACGAUAAAACAAAACGGCCGCAGAACCACAGCGAAGAUAUUGACCAGUGUCCACGCGCGGUCGCGGCUCGCUCUUCCGUCCUUCGCUCUGACAACGUAUUCUCGGUGACACCUGUGCCUUCGCUCCACUGGCAAGCUUACCUCUCAAACAAAAAUUCCUCGACGACAAAAUGCGCCGCAGCGAGACUUAGGUCAGUCCAGCGAUUAUCGACGUUCAGGAAUGCUGCGUUGAAUACGCACAAAGCAGGUUACUUAUCGCUACGCUGUUAAAAGAUCAGUACCUAUUAAUAGGCAAAGUAGAGGACAGUGACCUUGUAAUUUAUGUUUCGAUCAUACGAAACACAAAGUUAAUAAAUUCUUACGACGAAAUAAUACGUACGUCUCGACUGCUUCUGUAAGUAGUUUUGGGUAAGCCGAGCUUCAUUACACACACAGUUAUAAUUAGGAUCUGAAAAGGACUAAUUGCAGACAGCGAUCCCAGAUUGCUGUAGGUAGACCGAGCAAUAACGCAGAUAAUCUCCUCCGUCGUAAUUAUUGCUUCAAAGAUGACUAUGUACGUACUACACUGCAAAUGCAUCUCUAUGUAUAACGGUCGCAAUGUCGCGAUCCGUCGGGCCACCGAUUACAGUGGUGCGCUUUACGGAGAUAGACGAGAAUAAUGCUUGCACAGCUUACAAGAACUUACCUUGAAGUGGGGGAAAAGGAAGAAAGGAUGUUAAAAAAAUUGCUGACGUGACAUUACGCGUGUAAGUCGCAAAGCGAGAUUGCACUUGCAAACACCGUAAAUUGCUUAAAGACCCCGCGGAGAAUCCUAAUUUCUUUGUGUUUAUGAUUACACGUAUUAUUACAGUGGAUUUACAUCGAUCUCUGCGCUCGUCAAUGACAGAAGCUCCGACUGACGCUCUCAAACCCGUAUCAGAUUAGUCAUUAGAGAUCGAAGAUUACAAACUAAAGAUUAGAAUUCAAUCAAUCAUAUCAUUGUAGUUUUGAUCCGUUUCAUUUAAUUGGUUAAAUUCUAAUCUCCAAUUCGCAAUCCUCAAUCUUUAAUGCGUAGUCUGAUAUGGACUUCCGUUAUUCGCUUCCACUUUCGGCAAACGGCAAUCGUUCGUAUCGAUCAAACGUAAAUCUAAUAAAUUCUUCCGACAGAACAAUACGCGUGUCUCGAUCUCUUCCGCAAGAUCAUCGUUGAUCAUUGAUCAAGGCGUGGCAUUGGACGUGAAUUACCGCAGAACGUUCUCACCAUUGUCUUCGCGCUUCCCGCUUCUGCAUAUUCGAGGUUGUCGAGCGGAAAAUUUACUUUGCAAAGUAUGAUUGCUAUUAAUUAUACCGCGCGUGUUGCGAUGAUUUGCACCUCAGGAUGGGCAAGGUGUUAAUUACUAGCGGUUGCGACUCAAAGCUCACAAUCCUCGAACCAGGAACAAAUAAUCGGCCUGAAUUGCAAAAUCGAUCACGGGGCAGACGCAUUGAUUGUGAAAGACUCCCGAUCGUAAUUGCAUUUUCUCUUUACCGGUUUUCAAUUUGCAUUCCGUUGGUUUACGGGAUUAUCUGUUCAUCUUCCGGGGACCACUCACACCUAUUGUUGACCCGGCGCAUCUAUCCGAGCACGCUGGGUACUAUAUCCAGUGACCCACAUACGGUUUACGAGCCACCGUCCCGUAGAAAAUCCCAUAUUCCGAUAAAGUGACGAAUGUGAGGCCCCGACUGCACACAUGAACACACACACACGCACACACACACGCACACGGAGAUAACCCUCGACUAUUCUGUUUUUUUUCGCGACGUUAUAUCACUUUGUUUUUAAAACACAGACGGUAAAUUCGACGGAGAAAAGAGGGAGGUCCAAAGCUCUGGUAUGUCACGUCCGACUGAUUGGAGGAUGAUCGCCGUUGGCAAAAAAAAGGAAAUGCAGCGUUCUACGAAUCGCAUUUUUCGACGAUCGAGACGAAAAAAAUAAUGGCAGUAACCGCAGAAUUGAAUGUGACCUUUGGGAAUACGAUCCAAUACGAUUGAAGGCAUUAACAGUGCUUUAUGUUUCGAAUUAUUAUUACAUAGUAUGGAACUCUACACGAAACGUAUAGAAUAAUAAAUUUGAAAUUUAGUCAUUUAA